rnacentral:rRNA from 1 species
UACGGAAGGCAGCAGUGGGGAAUAUUGCACAAUGGGCGCAAGCCUGAUGCAGCCAUGCCGCGUGUAUGAAAAAGGCCUUCGGGUUGUAAAGUACUUUCAGUCGUGAGGAAGGUGUUAAGGUUAAUAACCUUAGCAAUUGACGUUAGCGACAGAAGAAGCACCGGCUAACUCCGUGCCAGCAGCCGCGGUAAUACGGAGGGUGCGAGCGUUAAUCGGAAUUACUGGGCGUAAAGGGCACGCAGGCGGUUAAUUAAGUUGGAUGUGAAAUCCCCGGGCUUAACCUGGGAAUGGCAUUCAAGCUGGUUAGCUAGAGUCUUGUAGAGGGGGUAGAAUUCCAUGUGUAGCGGCGAAAUGCGUAGAGAUGUGGAGGAAUACCGGUGGCGAAGGCGGCCCCUGGACAAAGACUGACGCUCAUGUGCGAAAGCGUGGGGAGCGAAACAGGGAUUAGAUA